rnacentral:rRNA from 1 species
GACGAACGCUGGCGGCGUGCUUAACACAUGCAAGUCGAACGGAAAGGCCCUGCUUGCAGGGUACUCGAGUGGCGAACGGGUGAGUAACACGUGGGUGAUCUGCCCUGCACUUCGGGAUAAGCCUGGGAAACUGGGUCUAAUACCGGAUAGGAGCCAUUUUUAGUGUGAUGGUUGGAAAGUUUUUUCGGUGUAGGAUGAGCUCGCGGCCUAUCAGCUUGUUGGUGGGGUAAUGGCCUACCAAGGCGGCGACGGGUAGCCGGCCUGAGAGGGUGGACGGCCAAAUUGGGAAUGAGAAUGGGCCCCAACCCCCAGGGGGGGAAGGAGGGGGGAAAUUUGCACAAGGGGGGAAAGCCGGAUGCAGCGACGCCGGGGGGGGGGUGACGGCCUUCGGGUUUUAAACUCCUUUCGUUGGGGAAGAAGUUUUUUGUGACGGUACCUAGAUAAGAAGCACCGGCUAACUACGU